rnacentral:lncRNA from 10 species
CUCACAAGAGCUGAUGGUUUUAUAAGGGGCUUCCCCCUUUGCUGGGCACUCAUUCUUCUCUUCCCUGCCACCAUGUGAAGAAGGAUGUGUUUGCUUCCCCUUCUACCAUGAUCAUAAGUUUCCUGAGGCUUCCUCAGCUGGGCUAAACUCAGGACCCUCGCCAGUGGCUGUAACUGCCUCUAAACUGCCUGCCUGACUGGAAUCCAUCCCCCGCACCAUGGGAAGAUCGUCUCUUCUGAGAUACUUACUUCACGUACUCCAGAUCCUUCCCUGGCUUUUUUUUUUUUUUUUUUUUUGACGGAGUUUGCUCUUGUUGCCCAGGCUGGAGUGCAGUGGCUCACCACAACCUCCGCCUCCCAUGCCUGACAAGGAAGACCACAUGCUGAGUGGAAGGUGGGGGGCAUGCAUAGUGCCUGGCACCUGGUGGCACCCCUGACUGAGUGUCUCACUGACAGGGACUUGAGGAACUGUCUUGGGGAAGGGAAGAUCUUUGCUUUUGUGAUGACACCAACGUAUGAAAGACGUGCAGGGCCCAGUGGAGUUGGCUGGCUUUUAUUCAGCUGUAAGGAUGACCUGCAGAUGGGCAAUUAGAGGAUGCGUGUGAGAGCCAGGAGACCUCUUGGGUAGCUUGCUAAGAGUUUCUGCAGUGGAACAGAAGACGCACCUCAGGGCUUGAAGGCUAGAGUUGCAGAGCUCCAGAGAUGUUUACGUGCUCAGUCAAGUCAGGGGUUAUGCUAAGGUGGAUGUCUUGGUUGGGAAAACCUAGAGAAUCUUAAAACAUAGGAUUGGGACGUCUGGGUGAAUGGCCCUGAGCAGCUGAGCUCUGCUGAACCCCUGCAGUCUCAAAGCUCGCAGUCUUUGCUGCCCUCCCUAGCAAGAGCUGACAUGCUGCCCAUGGGAACUCACUGCAGAGGUCUCUCCCUGCAAAGCAAGGAGUGCUGGUCCCAGAGGAGCUGCCCUCACACCUGCUCUGACUGCUGAGUUGAUAACAGCCAAACUUGUCUUGAAAUGAUGCAGCCCGGAUGAGCCACACGGGACCCUCAGGCAGGAGCUGGCUGAUGAGGAUCUGUGGGCACGGGUUUGCCUUUCUUGUCGGCAUAGCAUCACCCAGCGCCAAGUGACACUGACUUACACCUGACCGGAGGGCUCUCCUCACAGCUACGGAGGUGGAAGGCAGCCCCAUGACCAUGGAAUCCAUUGGUUAUGUUACAUCCCACGUUACCCAGCGACAGCGGCCCCCCAGAGCUCUGGAACAGCCUGCUUCAGGCACUGUCACAGAGCAGCUUGGAGACAACAGCCUGCAAGGACAUAGUGUGUGCACUCAAUCAGAGCCCUCCUUAUGCCAGUGAGUCCUGGGUAGGGGGAACACCUGGGUUGGGGAGCGAGCAAGGGGUGAAAGCAGGCAUGGACCCCCUCACAUCACUCCUCUUGACCAACUGAAGGAGAUCCUACCUCCCGCCUCCGCAGCUCUGGGAUCUGCAGGAUGGGAGGGCCAAGCCCCUCUGCCACAGCGGUGGCUCCUGUCUUGUUGCUGCGUACUGCUCGUGUCCAGGGACGAGCCGUGAGAAUUGGAGCCACCGUCUUGGUGAGGGCAUGGCCUUGCCAGCAGGAAAAGAGCUGCUUUUCCACAAUGGGACAGGGAAGAAUGCACACGGGAGUCAGGCAGCCCCUCUGCCAUCCCAAACAACUGCAGCUAGAAAUAUGCAGCAGCCCUGGCCUGAGAAGGGAUGAAAGCUGAGGGCCCACACUGCCCACACCACCAGUUGUGCCCCUGUGAUGGGUUGAAGUGUGUUACCCAACAAGAUGCAUUCGUGUCCUAACCCCUGAUGCCUGAGGAUGUUAUCUGACUCGGAACAGGGUCUUUAUAGAUGGAAUGAAGUUGAGAUGAGGCCUCGAGGAUGAGCCCUGAUCUAAGAUGACUGGUGUCCUCAUGAGAGGAGGAGAGACAAAGCCAUAGACAGAAGACAGAAGAGGCUGGAGUGAUGCUGCCACCAAAGGAGGAUCCUCCCACAAAGGCAUCUGAGGGAGCCUGGCCCUGCUCACACCUUGGUUGCAGGCUUCUGGCCUCCAGGACUGCGAGGGAGUCACUGCUGUUUUAAGCCACCAGCUUGUGGGGCUUUAUUAUGGCAGCCACAGCAAACUGGUGCAGCCACUAAGACCUGAAUAAGUGGCAGCUCCAUAGAGGAUGGUGGGCUCAGGUGGUCCCCAAGGCCAAUGUGUGGCAGGCAGUGGUUGUCCCAUUAUCCUGUCUCUUCUGUGUUUCCCUUCUGAAAGAGGCUCUCAAGCACUGGGAGUGGUGUCCUCACACACAUGCAGGAGGGGUUCUGUGUGGCCAUGGAGGGCACCUGCCAUGGGGACCCAGGUGACAGAUGGCUCCCACUGCAGCCGUCUUGCCAAGACCAUGCAUCCCCUGGGCUGUCCCCGGCACUGAAUGAGCACAGCUGGGCACUGGGACCAGGUCACUUCUGCCAAGCACAGGUAUCCUCUACUGCUGGACCUUGGCUCGGGGGUGCGCCCAUGCCCCGCUAAGACUUUCUUAGGUGGUGCUGCCACCUGAGCUCUUCCACCCAGUACCCCGUCUCUCUCCUCUGACAGACGCCAGCCUUGCCUGGCUGCUUCCCCUUCAUCCUUCACAGACUCCCCCCACCCUAGAACUCUCCCGCUGAUGCAAUGCUGCCUGAAGACCAGAACUGAUAUAGGGGAACGUCGCUGUCCUCACAUACGUCACAGAAGCAUCCCGCUGUCAGCCUCCCAUCAAAUACCUCAUAAUUGGGAGAUUUCAUUGGGAUGAACAAAAAGGAAAGAAGCUUCUGAUGCGUUGGCAUCCACUGUCUUUCAAUUAAACCAUUCAGCGAGAGGCCAAGGCCUACCCCAUCCUGUGCAGUCAGGAAUGGCUGGAGCAUCGUCGGAAACCGUGGGCGCUGGGCCAGGGAUGCCGGGGAAUGACAUCAUUUCAUUGUGUUCGCAUGACCAUGGAAGGCCUGUGUUACACACACCGGAUGAAGUCACCAGAAUGCUAGGGAACAGAGAAAGCCAGGGGUAAGAAUAAAGAAACCCUUGGCAAAGGCUUGGGAGACAGGAAGGUUGAAAAGAGGGGCAGAGAGGAGUCUGUGUUUAUUGUCAGUGGUCUGGCAUUCUGGGUUUGAAAAUAACAUCUGCUUCACUCGCUGCCUUCCCUCCACCUACCCACGGGCUCUGGGACCCAGGAACCUCGACGGAGCAGAAACCCGUAGGCGCCAUCGCUGGGAUAUUUGCCAGUUACAGCUCAUUUUUCUCCAUGUCAGGAUACAAAAAAGAGAAUGGAAGAAGGGAGCUUGAUACACAUAUAUCUUAAAACUCUUAUUUUGUCAAAAAAAUGUACAGUUUUAGCAGCGGCACUUUUUUAAAAAAGAAAUGUUAUUUUUCUCACAAUCCUUCUUAUAUUCCUGGAAAUAUUUUCUAUAUUCCUCAAAAGGCAAAUAUUUACUUAACUCAGGUUUUAUAAACUGGAAAUAGAUUGCCUAAUAAUGAAGAAAAUAAGAAUAUACAAAUGUAUGAAUAUGAAAUAUAUAUGAGAUAUUCAUAUCUAUAUGGAAGAAGACCAAAAGUGUAUUAAUAAUGAAGCAAAUAAGGAUGUACAUACAUAUAUAUAUGGAAACAAAAAGUAGAUUAAUUUUGCAGAGUAUAAUUUUACCCUUACAUACUCCAGUGUGUAUUAUGCAACAAUAGGAAAAUCUUUUUCCAUAACCACAGUGGAGUUCUCCACUUGAGUCACUUUCACGUUGAUACAGCACAGUAUCUGAUCCACAUCUGUAUUCCAUUUUGCAGUUGCCCGAUAACGUCCUUUAUAACUUCUGUUCCCUCCAGGACAGGAUCCAGCCUAGAGUCAGAUACUGCAUUUAGUUGUCACGCAUCUUCAGUCUCCUUUUAUCUAGAACAUUUCCUCAGCCUUUUUCUUUUACAACGUUGAAACUGUUGAAGAAUAUCGUGCCCCUCCCCUUUUGUUAGUAGGCAGGUCCUCACUUUGGGUUUGUCUGUUGCUUCAUCGUGAUUGGAUUCAGGGAGUGCAUUCUUAGCUGAAACACUGCAGAGGUGACGGUGCGUCCGGGGAGUUACACCUGGAAGCACGCAGUGCUCCUCUCUUCCUCAUCUAUGGUGUUAAUUUUGAUCGCUCAACCAAGGUGUUGUCCAAUUUCUCCACCUCAUUAUUUUUUGAACUGAACAAGCAGAUUGUGAGGAGAUAUUUUGAGCUCCUCGUCAAAAUUUCCUCUUAAAUUUGCCAUCCACUGAUGAUUCUUGUCUGAUCCAAUUUUUAUUCUAACACACGCAAAACUCCAGCACUGUCUCCACAUUUCCCACAUGGCCUGCCACUGUGAGGAAGACCUCGCCCUUCUCCCUUAUUUGUUUAUUUGUUUACCCACUUAUUUAUCUAUUACUGGAUUGCUCUUGUGAUCUUGGUGCUCAAAUGCGCAUACGGUGCUGAAAUAAAUUUAUAGUAACUUUGUGCUUUAGUUUUUAAAAAUAAUUAAAUUACAUAUGUGCACAUAUAUACAUAUCCACAUAAAGUGUGUGUGCAUGCACAUGCAUGCGUGUGUGUGCAUGCACAUGCAUGCAUGUGUGUGUGCAUCAACCUAAGGGCCACAAAGCAACACAAAAAGAAAUUCAUAUCAUGUGACCCACAUGCUUAAAAAAUUAUUAAUAACUCACUGGGUCUUAUAAAUGGCAUUCUACCAAUUUUGAAAAUGUAUGUUGGCAUAAGCAAAACACAUUGAGAUUAUUACCAACCUAAACAAUCCCUAGUCUGCACAAAAUACAAAGAACUGUGGUAAAAUGAAAUGGCGACUAGUCCAUCUUCCACUGUGGGCCAUGGAGGACGCUUCUGGGAAAGACAUUAAAAUCUCCAUAAUUAUUAUUUAACAUGUAUUCGGCACCAUAAACGUACACAGAGAAGUGUGAUAAAUGAAGCUGUGCCCCAUCAGUAACAGUGUCUGCCCUGAGGAGUUGAGAGCCUGGAAAGAUGGCAUUCAUACGCCUAAUUGGGCAGUCCUGCACCCUAGGGAGAAAUAUCUUCUUGAAAGGAUAUGUUGCUUUCAUGAUACAUUUAGGAGCCUAUAGGUGAAUUAUAUAAAUUACUCCUUUUAUAAAUUACUCUUCAACAUGAUUAUUGAAAUAGCAUAAAUAAAAAAGAAAUUUACCAACACAGCCUAGUGAGAAAGGUAAUCUGUGUUAUCAAGUAACCCUCAGAGGUUUAAAACUGCCAAACUGAACCCCUUCGCCUGCUCCUGUACCCCAAGGGCAGGCUGAGUUAACAAACCCUGUUGAUUUAUGUAUCCAGCUGCAGAGAGGCCAAAUCUCUGCUUUCCCCUGUGCUCCACAUUAAUGAACAGGGAUGGAGCAGUGAGAUGAAAAUCAGGAAUUGGAAGCACACCAGUGACUGAGUAAACUUAGGUGAAUGUGCGACCCUUCCUGAGCCUGUCUCUGAAACACUACCAGUAGCCCUCAGCCCCUCUCUGUAUCAAAACUUGAUUUAUGUGAAUAGCUCAAGUCUGCCUUUUCUAUAUAAUUUGAAAAGCAUGCGUACUUAAUAAAGUUUUGGGAAUUUCAUUCGGAACAUCAUCCCAAAACUUUGGUAACGCUUGGCUUUUACCCCAUUUACUUUAAUAUAAGGAAGAGAACCGCUUAAUACUAAGAACCACUUAAUAAUAAUCUCUUUCCAUAGUACCUAUUUUCAGUAAAACAAACAAAAUAAAAAACAGAAACGCUGUCAUAUAAACUUCCUAUUUCUCUCACUUUUUAACAUAUUCAAGAUAAAGCUAGACACUCUGGAGAUGCCUAAUAACACUCGAUUUGGGAUAUCCGCCAAGAUGUGCAGCCUUAGAGGGCCAGCUUUACUUUUAACAUUUGCACGAUGCCUCCCUUGGGAAAUUUUUCACCUCUCACAGCCCUCUCCUUGGCCUACCCUCUCUCUCAAACCUGACAUCAUCCUCACUCCAAACUUUUAACAGCUUGGAAUUUUGUUUGGGGAAAGAAGAAGAGCUGAACGUCUCUGCCUUGACUUAAGCAGGAAUUUGGAGUUUGUAGGCGUUUACCCUUUUAACAGUGAAGCACCAGCAAGCACCAAAAUCUACAGUAUUUCCUUCUAUAUGAACCAUUUUUUAGGGAAGCCAACCUCCUUCAAUUUGUUUUCUUUAAAGGAAAGGGAAGUAACAAAAAGACAUAUUAUCCCAAUCUGUGGUAAAAAAUACACAGGGACAUUGGCUUUCAUGUUUCUGGACUUCUCAGUUCUCUCUUAUUCUAACUUUAUCCUUGGAUAUGGGACAUGCUGUUGAAUCUCUUAAGGAAGUGUGUCAGGAGAAAACUCAGAGAGGGUCAUGGAGGUACCCCUGGCCCUAACCAAGCUACAAGAACUGUUUCCUUUUAUCUUCUAAAUCUUUCUUACUUUAAAAAGAAGGAUUAAAAACUCUCUCUUCACUUGGUUUUCCAGCAAGAAAACUUUUUCUCCUAUAAAACAAAUAAACUUCCUACUACUUUUUCCAUUAUACCUAUUGGCUUUAUAUCAUAUGUAUCGUGUACAUAUGUAUCAUAUAUAUCAUGUAAAACAUGAUGUUUUGAAACAUAUACAUUGUGGAGUGACUAAAUCUACAUAAUUAACAUCCAUUACCUCACAUAAUUAUGACUUUCGUGAUAAGAACAUUUUACAUCUACUCUCUUAGCAUUGUUCAAGAACACAAUAUAUUACUAUUAACUAUAGUCACCAUGUUGUAUAGAUCUCCUGAACUGAUUCCUUCUGUCUAACUAAGCUUUUGUACCCUCUGACCGACAUCUCCGUGACAUCCCCUACAAAUCACCCCAACCUCUGGUAACCAGCAUUAUACUCUCUGCUUCUAUAAAUUCAACCUUUUCAGAUUUCACAUAUGAAUGAGAUCAUAUGGCAUUUAUCUUUCUGUGCUUGACUUACUUCACUUAACAUAAUAUCCGUCAGCUUUAUUUACGUUGUCACAAAUGACAGAAUUUCCUUCUCUUUCAAGGCUGAAUAGUAUUUCCUUGUGCAUAUAUAAGAAAAUACAGAAAAUGUUUUCCUAUAUUUAAGCAAAAAUACAUGUAAGAAUAUAUGAAUAUAUGUAAGAAAGUGUAGCACAUUUUUUUUAACCGUUUCUCUAUUGAUGGACACUUAGGUUGAUUCCAUAUCUUGGCUAUUGUGACUAGUGCUGCAAUGAACAUAGGAAUGCCGACAUCUCUUCCACAUACUGACUUCAUUCCCUUUGGCUCUACACCCAGUAGUGUCAUUGCUGGAUCACAGGUGGUUCUGUUGUCCAUAAUGGCUGUUCUAAUUUGUAUUCCCACCAACAAUGCACAAGGGUUCCCUUUUCUCAUAUUCUCACCUACACUUGUUAUCUUUUGUCUUCUUGAUAAUAGCCAUCCUAACAGGUGUAAAGUGAUAUCUCACUGAGUUUUUAAAUUUGUGUUUCCCUGAUGAUUAGUGAUGCUGAGGACUUUUUCAUAUACCUGUUAGCCAUUUGCAUGUCCUUUUUGGAGAAAUGUCUAUUCAGGUCCUUUGCUCAUGUUUUUGUUGGGCUAUUUUUUUCUGUCUUUUCAGUUGAGUUCCUUGUAUGUUUUGGAUCUUAACGCUUUGUCAGAUGUAGAGUUUAAAAAUAUUUUCUCCCAUCCCAUGCAUGGGCUGUCUCUUUGGUCUGUUAAUUGUUUCCCUUGCUAUGCAGAAGAUUUUUAGUUUGAUAUAAUUCCACUUGUCUAUUUUUGCUUUUGUUGCCUGUGUUUUUGGGGUCAUAUCCAAAAGAGUAUUGCCCAGACUAAUGUCAGGGAGUGUCUCCCCAUGUUUUCUUCUGGUAGCUUCAUAGUUUUAGGUCUUGCAUUUAAGGUUUUCACACAUUUUGAGUUGAUUUUUGCAUAUGGUAUGUGAUAAGGGUCUCAUUUCAUUCUUCUAUUAUGGAUAUCCAUUUUUCUCAACACCAUUUAUUGAAGAGACUAUCCUUUUCUCAUUGCAUGUUCUUGGCUCCUUUGUGCUUUGUAGUAUAUUUUUAAAGAUGGUGGUGCAGUGCCUACAGCUUUGUUCUUAUUUUUCAGGAUGGCUUUGGCUAUUCAGGGUCUUUUGUAGUUUCAUACAAAUUUUAGGAGUGUUUUUUCUACUUCUGUGAAGCCUAUUUGCUUAGAAUAUUUCUUCUCAUCAAACAGCAUCAUUAAGUGCUUAGUGGAUACUGUUAGAAAAAUCCUUCAAUUAUGAAAAUCACCAUGUAUACAUGGCUGUUUAAAAAGCAUAAUUUAUGUGCAUUUAUAGAACAAAAUCCAAAAAGAAAUAAUUGAAAGAACAGUUGUUUUUACCUUCUCCCACACAUAAACUCAACCCCUUAGGAAAUAUUAGCAUAGAACAACUUUUCUUGGAAUCUAGAGUUUAAGGCUCUUCAAUAAUUUUAAAAGAAACAAAAUAUAUAUCAGAAAUAUAAAAUAUGAUAACUGGGAACUUUAUAGGCUAUAGUUUCUAGUCCUUAAGUAAUAAAAUAUUAUAGUGAGUAUAAGAAUGAAAAUAAAUAUCUCAAUGAAAAAUUUCAAGCCAAUAUUCAAAAUAUAUCACUUAUGACUAUUUUAUAUUUAAAUGCCCAUGAUAUUCUAAAUUUUUUUAUUAAAAUGUUAAGUUGGAGCUGCAUUUCUAGCAGACAAGAUACCGUGGGUGACCCUGCCUUCUUUAUUGAGACAACUAAAAUGCUGGAAGAGAGAGAGAUGAGAGAUAGACGGUAAUAUUGCACCGCAUUUUUGAGUUGGCACAGAAGGAAUCUCAGAGGUCCAAAUGAAAAUGAAAGCAGGAACCUGGGAAAUAAGCAAGAACUGCCAGAACAAAAGUUGCCUUUUGUCUGGGGAUUUCAUCCAAGCCUUAGAGGCCUUGAGCUUCUGCUUUGAUGUGAAACCAGAGAUAAAAUCUAGGCCUGCCCAACAUGAGGAAUCUCACAGGAUGCCUUCCCAUAUAAAGCUGGGAUAGAGAAUGAAUAAAGCCACUCUUCAAAAGGGAAUUGAUGGCCUCAGGUUUGGCACUGUUUGCAUGCGGGGAAUAUGUGUAGCCCAAAGUCUGGUAGAGCACCAGGCAACUAGCAGAAGCAGAUCAGAAUUGUCCCCAGUUCAGGGGACCCAGGAAUAAAAAUAUUCCUGCAUGAAAUCCCAAAGAAAAUGAGUAGUUGACAAUUAAACAAGCAUAAAACACAGAAGGAAACAAACACAGCAUGCAUGAGUGCCAGUCAUAACAGGAGAUAGCAGAAGGAAGUCCGUAAGGGUUACAAAACAGCAAUGAUCAGAAUACACAUGUAUUACAUUUCACAUGUUUAAGCAAAGAAAAGCCUAGAAAUAGUAGAAAGUAGAACGAGUUUACUUAGAAACAUGAAAAUUUGAAAAAGAAUGACAUCAUAAUUUUAUCUUCUACAAAUGAUAUGAAAAUAAGUUAAUGAAUUAAACAUCAGGUUGGAGAAAGUUAAGGAAAAAAUUAGCGAAUUGGCAAACAGAGCUGAAGAAGUCAUCCAGAAUGCAGCACAGAUGAAAAAGAGAGGAGAAAUACGAUAGAGAGAUUGUGCCACCGAAAGAAAGUGGAACACUUUAACAUUUGUCUAACUAUAGUUCCAGAAGGAGAAAAUAAAUAUAAAGGAUAAGAAUCAAUGUUCAAAGGACAGUGAUAAUGGCUGGACAUUUUCCAGAAUUGCUGAAAUGUACCAAUUCUUACAGCCAAGGAGCCCAAUGUCAAUCAACAUUCAUGUCAAUCACAUAAAUAAAAAUCACAGCUGUGAAACUGCAGAAUAGUAAAGAACCAAGGAGGAAAGACAGAUCACCAGGAAGAAACAGGAUGAUGACUUCUCAACAGUAAAAAAGAAUCCAUAAGGCAAUGUAAUUAAUAUCUUCAAAGUGCUGAUGAAAAAUAAUAGUCAAUCGAGACUUCCAUAUCUUUCAAGAAUGACAGCAAAAUAAAGAUACAUUCAGACAAGUCAAAAUUGAGUUUGUUCCAGAAGUCUCUCACUAAAGAAAAUUCUCAAGGAUUUAUGUGAGGGAAAAGGAAAGAGACUUCAGUUGGGAUGUCUGAGAAGCAAAACAGAAUGGUCACAACCAGAAUCUAAAACACCGCUGCAGGCCAGCAGUCAUAGAGUUAUUCUGAGCAUUAAACGUGAAGAGCUGAAGUGCCCUAUAUAUAUGUGUUAGUAUGAGGAACAGAAAGGAACUUCUUAAACCUGUUAAAAGCCCUCUACAAAUCCAAAAGCAGUGUGUCAAUAGCCAAAUUCCUGUUGUUCCUAUUCAAACCUGAAACCUUCCCCAUCUCAGUGGGCCAGCUGGCAACUUCAGCCUUCCUUUGUUCAGUAAUUCUUAACUCCUCUCUGCCUCUUACAUCUGACAUUCUAACUCUCAGGAAAUCUCAUUAACUGUGUAUUCAGAAAGUAUCAAGAUCUGAGCCCCUCCAGAUCACCACGUUCAGAGUCGCAACCAUGUCUCACUUAGAGGGUUGGAGCUUCCUGGAUGGCUUCUCUGUGUCUGUGUUGGGUGGCCUUGUUCUACCUAAUGACCUAAUUUAAAAUUUGCAAUAUCUCCCCAGACCUGAGCCACCUUUCUCUGCACUGUUCCCCCAAUGACAAGCACCACCUUCUAGAAUGCUAUAUAAUAUAGUUACAUGUUAUACUGAUUGCUUAUUUUCUCUCUUCACGCCUACCUUUGUAAAAUGUAAGCUUUAUGAAGUAUGAGAUUUCUGCUGGCUUUUGUUUUGCUGGUUUUUUACUGGCAUAUGCUGAGCCAUGUCUGACUAUGUGUUGAAUGAGUGAAAAGUUACAAGUAUCUUUCAUAAGAUCAGGACCAAAAUAAGCAAAUGUAGUAAAGUACACUAACAAAAUGUUACAAUGUAAAACUGGAAUAAAAUAAACCAAAUUGUCAUUAUUUUUAGAAAAUACGAUCAUCUAUAAAGAAAUCUUAAGUAGUCAACAGAUAAAAUAUUACAAUCUCAGUAAUAAGAGAAUUUGGCAAAAUUAUGAAUACAAAAUCAAUAUACAGAGGUAUAAUUGCGUUUCUAUUCUACAACAGAGUUAUUUAAAUAAUUAAAGACACCAUUUAAAUAGAAAAGAAACAUAUAUAACCUUAGAAUUAACUUAGAAUAUUUUAAGCAUUCUAUUAAAAUAAUAUCUCACCAAAGAUGUGUAAGACAUUUAAAAGCAGAUAUUAAAGAAGAUCUAAGUAAAAUGAGAGUUACAUCAAAUUUUUGAAUUUGAACAUAUAUCAAUUCUUCAGAAACUGUUCUAUCAAUUCAGUCUAAUUCCAAUACAUUUCUCAGCUGUUUUUCACAAACAUCUAAACAUAAAAAUAUUUAGAAACAUUUAGCUAUUUCUAAAAUUUAGAAGAAAAUAUAAAUGACCAAGGAUUGCCAAAGCUCUCUUGAAGAACAAGGUAGAAGUAAUUGCCCUACUGGAUAUCAAAGCUUAUUAUAAAGUAAUGGUAAUAAAGUUAUAAAUAUUUAAGCAAGUAAUAGUAACCAAAGUGUAUUGUAAAGUGGUAGUAAUUAAAACAGUGUGACAUUAAGACCAAGGUGAACAUUCAGGGAGCCCAGAAAGAGAUCCACAUAUAUGCAGAUGAUAUAUGACAGAGCGUGCAUGGCAGAUGAGUGGGGAAAGAAUGAAGUCUAUAGUAAGUGGUAUUCAUAUGGAAAAUAUUGACAUUUCUAUUAACCUCUUCAGAAAAAAUGUAAGAAAAUCCUAUGACCUAUAAGCGAAAGGAUUUCUUAAAUAAGACCCCAAAAAACAGAAUGGAUAAUUAUACAAGAUGGAUAAUUGUAACUACAUUAAAACGAAAAAGUUUCUAUUUCUCAAAAGAUACCAUAAAGUGAAAUGGCAAGCCACACACUGAGAGACAAUAUUUUCACCACUUAAAAUGGAUGAAGGAUUAGUAUACAAAGUAUGUGUGUGUGCACACGUGUGUGUAUAUAGAUAUAGUUUACUAAUCACAAGAAAAAGACAAACAACUCGAUGGAAAAAUUGGCCCCCAAAGAGGGCUUAAAUGACAGAAAACAAAAAAAAAAGACAGAAAUAGACACAGGAAUGGCCCACAAAAAUCUGAAAUGAGGCUCAACAGCAUGGAAUAAACUUAUUUUCCAUGGGUUUCCGUUUGAUUCCAUGCCUUUCCUUAGAAAUCCAAGAUAACAUACUGAUCUCUCCACAUAUCCACAAAUUAAACACAAAUGGAAAUAUCUGUUGAGUCCCCUGUUACCUUUUUGUAUUUUUUGUAGCAUUUACUAAAACAAAGCUUUGUAUGACAUGAGAACAGUAUGUAUCAGAAAAAUGAAAAUUAAAUCCACAAUUUAAAAUCUACUUUACUACUACCAAAUUAGCAAAAAUUUAAGUCUAGUGAUAUCCAAUGUUGGUAAGGAAGUAGAACAAUGAGAACAAAUACAUGCCAGUGACAGGGGAAACUGGUGCAAAUGCAUUGAAGUACACUUUGGUAUUCCCUUGCAAAGCUGGACAUCGGAAUACCUAUAACUAAGCAAACCCCCAGAGAAAAUAUUGCUCAUGUAUACCAGGAGGUGUAUGAGGAUGUUUAGAGUAGCACCGUUCAUAAUAACAAAGAGAAGUAAUGACUUGGAAUACCUAGCCAUAGUAGCACUGACAAAUCAAUUGCAAAAUAUCUUUAAAGUGGAACGCUAAAGAGCAGUGAAAAUAAAUUAACUAAUAAAUUAACUAGAGCACUGUGGUUCAUUCUAUAUACAUAGAUUAUUAUACCAUUAGAAAAACAAAGGAAUGAUUAAUGUAAAACUCAGGAAAAUGGAUAACUCUAUAGAGAAUGCAGUCAGAAAGGGACAUAAAGGGAUCAGUAAAAUAAUAAUGGUCUAUUUUAUAUGCUGAAUGCUAACUUAGUACAAGGAAUGUUUUAACUCUACAUAAUUUACUUAUGUGCACAUUUUGUUUCUCACAGCAGCAUGGAAUAAGCUUAUUUUCCCAUGGGUUUCUGUUUGAUUCUAUGCCUUUCCUUAGAAACCCGAGAUAACAUAUCUCUGCACACAUCCACAAAUUAAAUACAAGUGGAAGUAUCUACUGAGUCCAUCUUUGGCUUUUUGUAAUUUUUGUGUAGCAUUUACUAAAGCAAAGUUUUAUGUGAUAUGAGAACAAAUGUUGGAUUCCAAUUGUAAAAACCCUAUCAGAAGCAAAAUAGGCAACUAGAGAUGAACAUGGAGCAUGAGUGGUUUUCCAAGGAAAAUGUCAGUCUUAUCGUUCUAAUUACAAGAAGCCAGUGCUACUGUGUAAAUCUGAUUUACACAAACUGGACUUCAAUUAAAAUUCCAGUUUUGCAAAUUCAGGACACUAAUUCUCAAAUGCCAAUAUAAAUAGGUUAAAAAGAUAAAAACAUGAACACACAACGUGGGCAAGCAUGUAUAAAAUACAUAAAAUGAAGAUAUGUUUUAAUGUUUACUUUAUGCAAGAAUGCUGCUCUCGUAAGUUAUAUGUGCUCCAUAAAGUAUUUAAAUUACCCGGGCAUGAUAGAGGGUACCUGUAAUCCCAGCUACUCAGGAGGCUGAGGCAAGAGAAUUGCUUGAAUCCGGGAGGCGGAGGUUUCAGUGAGCUGAGAUCACACCACUGCACUCCAGCCUGGGCAACACAGUGAGAGUCCAUCCCAGAAAAAAAAAAAAAAAAAUUACAGGGCACAAUUAACAAGUCUAUAUUUUUUAGCCAACUACAACAAUUCUGCUUCACUAUUAAUUAAUAAAAGUUACAAGUAAUUUUAGCAUUCACAAGCAGUCUCUAAAGUAACACUGGAAUUUUACAAGUCACAUAAAAUGGCACUAAUAUUAAUUCUACCAAAUAUUUUACUUGCAAAUCAAUUUACCCAUGUUCUCCUAGAGCAAGUGGCAUAAUGUAGUUGCAAAUUGUAUUACAAAUAGAUUGUCUUGAAAUGAUCACUUUCAAUUCCAUGCCCCCAACUAAACAAUCUUGAGAUGUUUGCAUUCGAUUAUUUGGAAAAUAACAAUUAUAACAUGUCCUGAGGGACCAGUAAUCUAGCAAAUUAAAUCCAGUGAAAUAUAAAUUCGUCACCAUUAUCUUUUAAUAUUGGCGAACUAGAUAAGGGGAAACAAAAGCUAUUACUAAACAGAUAAAUGAAUAAGCCCAGACAUGUUGUUAACCCUCAACUAUGAUCACCCCCAUGUGUGUGGGGCCAUUGCCCAAGCCCCCUUAUUAUUCUAAAGCAAAGAAUUAAUGAGGUUUGUAGUAAAUAGGGUCUGACCCUGAAUAAAACAAUCUUAUUUUCAGCUUCAACCUCGCAAUAUAGCGCUUCCUAAAUAUGCUUUCGGGUUCACUAAACUUUGUUAUCCUUGCUCAGACUAAAGUGACUCAGGAGGCAGAGGGAAAUGGCUUGAUUCUCUAAACUGUGAAAUCAAAGUAAAGUCUUUGUCAUCUCAGGAGCUCAUGCUUCCAGUGUCUCCUCUCCAAGCCUGUGCCAAGGUAAACGGGCAAGUAAGUAUGUUAUGCAGCCACAAACCAAACAAACUAAUCCAAAUUUCUGGAACGUACCAAAUCUAGAUUAUUUUGAGAUUAUCUCAUAGAACCAUGGGUCAACAUCACCUGACUGAUGAAAGUAAGGAGUAUUCUGAAUGUCAGGCACCCCAGAAGCGAUCUAAUGUGGGGCAGGAAAUCAGCAGGCAUGCCAGGAGAAAGUCGGCCUCCUACCGUAACGCAGGCAGGGAGGGAGGGGUAUUUAAGCUGAACCUGAGGCCAGCAGGGCAUGGGAUGGUUCUGUCGUGCAGGAGGACUUCCUUGGCUGUCGCAUGACAAGCCACAAGCUGGCAGCAGAACAAAGCACCAUCCUCUCUACAGGAAAGCAACAACGGUGUUGCCUAAGAAGGGUCCCAUUCCUGGGGCCACCAGCAUCCCAGGUAAAGGUGCCUGGUAAAUUCAGGGGGAGCAUAAGAAACGCAGGAUGAGCUCUGGAAAACAGACCGUCAGUGGCAAGCCCGUGGCUCAUAUGGAAGUAUCAGCAAGGCUUGCCAGCCAUGUUUCCACACCCAAGAAAGUGACCAUCAUCAACAGUAAAGGCCACAGCUUGACAUCAAGACAAGGUGGCUGAAGGUGGGCUGAGCAAAACUGUUGAAAAUGUGAUUGGGAGGGAGCACUGCUUAUUCCCUGGAACUCUCAGGAACACGUAAGGGACACUUUGUGGUGGAGUGCCUAUGAACUACCUUCUAAGAAAGAAAUCAGUGGGACUUUAUACAUUAGUAAGCUUCGUCUAAAAAAAAAAGGGAAUGUAAACUCUACUUUUGAUUUAUAGUAGGUGCGUUUAGGCUACAUGGGGAAAACAAAACUCACCUUACAGGCUGGAGGCAAGGGUCAUAUAAGACAUGUUGAAGGCAUCGGGUGUCUACUAGGCUUUCAAAGAUUGGUUGCCAAUUUCAAUCCUCACGCAUUUCUUCUUUUCUGAAAUUACACAUUUUCACAAUUUUCAGGAAAGGAGGAAUUAAGUAUUCCUGUUUUAUUCUAGAGGAUACUAUGAUUAGGGCCUCAGUAAGCUACCUGGUAAAAUUCUCUCUAAAACUCAAGGAUACUUGAAGCACCUUGAGAAGAAGCUAAAAUAUUGUCUUCUAAUACCAUCAGUACUUACUUGCAUUCAUCAUUUUAUUAGUUGUCUAUAAGGAACACUUACAUGUUAAUCAUAUUAACACUUUGAAUGGCAUAUAAGAAGCAAUAUUUUCCAUGACUUCAAAUAAAUUCUUAUACAUUAGCAUAAGGCCACACCUCAGAGGGAAGUUGUCUCGUAAAAAGUGAGACAUUGGUUGGCAAGUAAAUAGAAUUUGCAGGGUGGCUAAUGUUGGACUGUUUUUCAGCAGGGGAAGAGAAAGAAUAGAGAUGCCCUUAAAAUAAACCAUAUGGGUCUCAAACUAUUCAUGCCACGAAUCAGGUCAGUCAUAUUUCAACCUCCUCCCUCAAGCUUAUCUCAGUGCAACUUAAGGAAGAAAUGGAAAGUACAUUUCCACCAGAAUGCAUGUCUUAUGGAGGGGCAGGGGAGAAGGCAAUUUCAUAACAGUUUCAAACUAAAGUAGUACCCCAAAGCCAGUGAUGUAUUCUGGCCCAGACUUGACAGGUUAUUUUACCUGACCAAGCCUUAUUGUUCCUCUGGAACAAUAAGCAUAUUUUCACACAUUCUAUUUUUAUUUCUCACCAAAUGUGUCAAGACUUGGUUUCUAUUAAUUAAAUUUGUAUAUAAUUGUAGAUAUGCAUGCAGUUGUAAGAAACAAUACAGGGAGAUCCAAUAUACCCUUUGCCCAAUUCCCCCAGUGGUAACACCUUGCAGAUAUUGACAAUGAUACAGUCAAGAUACAGAACAUUUCCAUCACCACAAACAUCCCUUAUGUUGAACUUUUAAAGCCACACUCACUGCCCUCUCCCUCUCCUCUGUCCUUAGCUCCUGGCAACCACACUUGUGUCUCUCUGUUUUGAUAAUUUUGUUAUUUCAAGAAUGUUUUAUAAAUGGUACUAGAUAGUAUACAACUUUUUGAGAUUGAUUUCAUUUUCUCAACAUAAUUUUCUGAAGAGUCAUCAAGGUUGUUGCAUGUAUCAAUAUACUAACAUGCAUGUAUUAACAGCUUAUUCCUUUUCAUUGUUGAGUAGUAUUCCAUGUUUUGGACAUAGCAAGGCUUGUUUAAACAUUCACUAAUUUAAAAAUAUCUUAUUUGUUUCCCAUUUGAGGCUGUUAUGAAUAAAGCUACAAUUAAGAUUUGUGUACAAAUUUUAUGUGAACAUAAACCUUCAUUCUUUUUGGAUAACUGUUGGGUCACAUGGUGCUUGUAUGUUUAGUUAUUUAAGAAACUGCCAAAUUCUUUUCCAAAGUGGCUGAAACAUUUUACAUUACCAUCAGAAAUGUAGGAGUGAUCCAUUUGUCUGCAUCCUUGCAAGUAUUUG